rnacentral:rRNA from 1 species
UACAGGGGGGGCAAGCGUUGUUCGGAAUUACUGUUCUUAAAGGGCUCGUAGGCGGCCAACUAAGUCACACGUGAAAUCCCCAGGCUUAACCUGGGAACUGCGUGUGAUACUGGAUGGCUUGAAUUCGGGAGAGGGAUGCAGAAUUCCAGGUGUAGCGGUGAAAUGCGUAGAUAUCUGGAGGAAUACCGGUGGCGAAGGCGGCAUCCUGGACCGACAUUGACGCUGAGGAGCGAAAGCUAGGGGAGCAAACGGG